rnacentral:rRNA from 1 species
CCUAACACAUGCAAGUCGAACGGUAACAGGAAGAAGCUUGCUUCUUUGCUGACGAGUGGCGGACGGGUGAGUAAUGUCUGGGAAACUGCCUGAUGGAGGGGGAUAACUACUGGAAACGGUAGCUAAUACCGCAUAACGUCGCAAGACCAAAGAGGGGGACCCUCGGGCCUCUUGCCAUCGGAUGUGCCCAGAUGGGAUUAGCUUGUUGAUGGGGUAACGGCUCACCAAGGCGACGAUCCCUAGCUGGUCUGAGAGGAUGACCAGCCACACUGGAACUGAGACACGGUCCAGACUCCUACGGGAGGCAGCAGUGGGGAAUAUUGCACAAUGGGCGCAAGCCUGAUGCAGCCAUGCCGCGUGUAUGAAGAAGGCCUUCGGGUUGUAAAGUACUUUCAGCGGGGAGGAAGGGAGUAAAGUUAAUACCUUUGCUCAUUGACGUUACCCGCAGA